ensembl:misc_RNA Metazoa_SRP Metazoan signal recognition particle RNA
GCCAGGCAUGGUGGCUCAUGCCUGUGAUCCCAGCUCUUUGGGAGGCCGAGAUGGGAGGAUCCCUUGAGCCCAGGAGUUUGAGAUCAGCCUAGGCAACAUAGGGAGACCCCAUCUCUA